GGAUGGAUCACCUCCUUUCUAA
rnacentral:rRNA from 4 species